UGCAAAGCAAACAGAGGGUUGGAAUCAACUUUUGAAAAUCCAAGAGAAAAGUCUGUGAUAGAAUAUGAAGAUCUUUCAUUCUAGCCAAGCAUAGUGAUGAUGUUGAAUAGUGGUGCUCAAAGAGCAGUAACUACUUUGCAGGGUGUAAGCGUGUGGAAAGACCAGAACAGGCAGGGAAGACUCCGCAAAAGAUACGGAUCCUUCGUAAGAGAUGGCAGAAGAAAUAAGGUCAGGUCAGAUUGUAGGGCUUGACAUACCCCAAUGAAUGAAGCACUUCCAGACAUUAGAUUUGUUGCCAACCAGGAAAGACCUGGGACUUUUCUGUCACUUUCGAGUAAAUAAAGCAGCUUGUAAAAAAAAUCUCUCAAUGCUUUUCCAUGGUAAAUUUUCUAAAUUAGACAUCAGAAAUUUUGAACUAAUGAAACAAAGAUCUACAAAGGUGUAAUCUUUUGGCAUGCUUAUACCGAAUGGAAGUGCUUCACAUCCUCCUCGAAAAUGUAAGCAGGUGUCAGAUCAGUGCCACCUCCAAACCACCAUUGCCUAGGUGCUCCUGGAGUAUCUGCAUUAAUAUUAACCACAAGUAACAUAUAAUUAACAUAGUUCAACUUAAAUCAAGAUGCAGAUAUUACAGACAUGGACUUACCAAAGGUAUACAUUGGCAAUCCUAGCUAACAACUUAAAUACUGCUAGUCUCAUUUCUGUUGCAGACCCAUAUUAUGCAUUAAUAAACAUAACCAGUGAAAAGAUUCAUAAAAUGCAAGAAGCAAACAAGACAAUUGGGGAAAGAACACUAAAUUCCAACGAAAUAUCUUAGUGAUUUGGUGUAUUUUCUAUCUUAAAAAGGUAACAAAUUUUUUGAGCAGCUCUUUUAAGAAUUAGCACUUCUACCAUAAUAUUCCCACUUUAAGCUCUUCUCAAUCGUCUACUAGUGGUCUCAUGCCAAAGCUUCCUCCACCCCAUAGCUCUGUUUUCUGUCUCCAUAGUGUGCUGCUUACUGAUGCAAUGCUCUGGACCAUUACUGCCUACUACCCUAGCCUCUCUACAGGUCCAGCCACCCUCCGUGUAUCUCUCUGCAGGCACAAUAAUCCUUCAUAUCUCCCUUUCAUAAUGCUGCAUGCAUCAUGCCUGGAGGCCUCCUUCACAUCAUUGCUUAUCUAGUAUAAAACCGCUUGAAGCUGUUGUUGCUUGGGUAAAGCUAUGAACAUCUUAAGCAAAUCUUACAUCAUUAAAAAACAUGGAGAAAUGUUGAGUAUAUAAGGAAGCAAGCAUUAGAUCACAGUAAUUCAUUCUGAAGCCAUGCAGGCAAUUGUGUACUAGACUGUAAAAAUUAGUGUCAGAGCCACCCCUUGUGUAUCCUUGUAUGUUGGUUCCUUAUAUACUCAACAUCUCCUUGUAUCCUUGUGUAUCCUUGUAGUUUGAGAUAGUUACACAAUUCAGCACUACUCAUGUAUAAAUAGAAGUUCGGCAAACCCAUGGCACACUCCUCAUCCUUCUUCACUCUUUCCUUUUCAUCCUUUCCCCGAAUCCCAGACUUCUGCCACUCGUACCACCGCAUUCAUUUGGUACACCUCUUUUUUGCCCAUCUCAAAAUAAGCAAUACCUAUCUCCGCCCUCAUCCACAAUUCCAAAUGUGCACCAUCCACCACUGUUCUAUUCUCUUAUCCCUCCCUAGAUAGCAAUGACUUAAUCUAUUCUCAUUACUAUCCCAACCAGAAAUCUAUCGUUCUACCCUAAUGACACUCAACCCCGUGCCCACCUAUACCUUGAAGCCCCUGCAUUCGUCAAGAGAUCUAUUUUCUUAUCCAUCCCUGGCUGCAAUCAACUUUCUUCCCCAUCCCAAACCAUUAGUGUAUCCUUCCCAUUCCCUGCACCCAACCCCCAUGCACCACCACCACCACCAUCCACGUUGCUAGAUUUACUUUCUGAAUGAAUCUUCUUCUUUUAGGUGCGCUACUUUUGUUACUUUUUCUGUCAUUUGAGGUAUUCUAAUGACGGAUGGAGAUUAAGUUAUAUAUAAAAAAAAUUACUGAUUGCACUACAAAGAUUAAAUUGUGCAAAAAGUGCUUUCAUUUUAAGAAUAAUGUUCUUGUGUUGUUGUUACCCAAUAAAUAGGAAAGUAUUAGGAUGGCAUGUUACUCCAUUUUAGAGAAAUAACUACCUCAGAAAAUGACAAGUUCAUUAUGGCCCAACAGAAAAUAGGAAGCAAAGCAAAGCAAAUAUGAUACACCUUGUAGCUGCAUUAAUUUUGAUAUCUACUCCAACAAGAAUUACUCUGACUGUGAGGGAAAACUGCAAAAUGUGCACAUGUGAUUUACAUUCGUCAACACUACUAUUUUCUGUGAGAAGCAGGAUAAGUGGAUUCUCUAGUCUAUGUCUAUGACUGCAAUACCUUUUUAUUAUUAUUAUUUUAUUCCAAAAUCUCAAAGAAAAGCACAAUAGGUAUCAAGAACACUAUCUAUUCCUGCGCAAUCUCUUCUUUUCUCAUAACUCAUAGUUUCUACUCCAUUUACAUCGAAAGCAGAUCAGCAUCACAGAAGAAUAACCAAAAUUAUGAAGGGGAAUACCUUUAGGAGCAUCAGUCUCGAAGUAGCGAUAAUUGAAAUGUACAGUUGGUGCAAAGGGGUUUUUUGGAUGUAUAACCUGGUAAAGAAAUAAAACCUUUAUCAGUGAUGAUAAUGUUUGGCUAGUGGUUCAGUGACAUAUUCAAGUAAAAUAGAUCAAGAUUUUCCCAGAGAAUGAUACUAUAAGAAGGUAGUUACUCUAGUAGUCUAGUCCAUGCUGAUUCUUAACUAAGCAAGUGGAAUGAAUUAACUACCCUCAACCUCAAACUAGCUGACGUCAGAGAUAUGAAUCCCCUAUAUGUUCCACUCUAAUCCGGCAUUCAUUAUUACUGAAAUUUUUAAGCUUUUGGGUGAACUACUAGCGAGAUGAGUGAUAAAUCAUAACAGUAACUCUUAAGGGAAAAUUUACUUGCCUCUUGAUCGAUAGACACUAAUCCCCAAAAAAAUGUUGAUAAACAAAAAGAAAAGGGAAUUUCACAUCGUUGGCCAACAGCAACCUUCUAAGUUCAUAGGUGGAGUUCAAGUAAGCAAGUGGAAACAAAAAGGAAAUAAAAUCAAAACUACUAGUGCAAUAUACUUGUAGAAUGCCAUAAUCUUCCGAAAGACAUUCAAAAAUCAACGUGAAUCCCUUUGGAUAACUUUUGGUUCUUAGCUAAGCAAGUGAAAUUGAUAAAUUAAGCCUCAAUUCAACCUAACUAGGUUAGGCAUUUUUAAUCUGUUUAUAUAUUUCAUUCAAUUCGGGAAUCCAUUACUAUGGGAUUCAUCGUAAAUCAACUGGUACUUCAUAUGGAUAGAGUUUAUAUAAGUGAGUGGAGACUGAAGGAAAACAAAAAUAAAACUACCAAAUGUAACAUACAUGAAGAAUAUCAGGUCCUUCAUAAAAGCAUCACAAAACCAACAUGGAUCCCUUAAAUCACCAAAAUCUGAAUGUGACUUAUAACUGCUUGUUUGAUGGUCGUUACUUGUUGUAUAUUGUUAGUUUAAAUACAAUUUUCUUUUGAUUAUUGGAUCGGCAAAUCCAUCUUUAGGUAACAACGAAAAAUCUCAUUUUGUGUGACAACCGAUUUGGUGUAUUUGCAACAUUGUAUUCAUUAAAACAAUCAAGUAUAUGAUACAAUACAAUAUGAUACAUUAUGAAACAAUAUGUAACAACCAUCCAAACAGAAGAUAGCCUAAGUAAGAAAUCUGGACCAAAGAAAGGUGGAAAGACUGGCUGAAUUUUAUGGCACCAUAGAUCACCGCUAUACAGGACCAAGGAUGGAAAUGCCACAACAAAGGCUUUUUCACAGUCAGCUCUACUUAUACGAAUUUGAAUCGGAUGGGGGUCUCAAAUCAGUUUCUUAGCCUGGAAGCUUAUAUGAAAAGUGAAAAUCCCCUACAAAGUUGCAGUCUUGAUCUGGCUGGUAGUGAAAGAGGCUGCUCUAACUCAAGAGAAUCUCAUGAAGAGGGGCAUACAGAUGUGUCCAAGAUGUUAUUUUUGUGAGCAACAGGCAAAGAGAAUUGACCAUUUGUUUUUACAGUGUAAAGUGGUUAAGCAGGCGCCAGCUAUGGAACCUGUUUACUAAUUUCAGAUGCAUAAGGUGUACUAUGUCUAAAAGGGCAGGUCAGGCUCUAGCAAGCUGGAACAAUGAGGGUAGUGGUAGCACAUACAAAUACAGAUGAAGAAUUAUCCCAGCCGUGAUAUAGUGGUAGCACAUAUAAAAGAAAGAAUGAAACGUGAGAAAUUUACCGAGCUAACGCCAGCAGCAAAAAAGGGGAUAGGACCAGGUUUAGUAUUUCCAUUAUCAACUGGCCUAGCAGCUCGAUAAGCUUCAGGAGGCAUAACACCAUAAACAACAGAAACAUUAACACCAGCCUUCUCAAAAACAU
rnacentral:lncRNA from 1 species